CUACACUGACAAGGUAAGGAUGUCAUCUGAGGGAUGACUCCACGCCCUGCUACACUGACAAGGUAAGGAUGUCAUCUGAGGGAGGACUCCACGCCCUGCUACAAUUGUACUCAUCCAAGAAAAGUGUGAAUGCUCAAUUAAAAUUAGAAAAACAUUAAUAAAA